GGUCUUUAAAGCUCCCUGAACGGGCUUUUCCUUGAACUUCCGGUCUCUGUGGGCGCCCUUCCCUCCCACAGUCUCCGUACCUGGUGGUUCUUGGCGUGAUGAGACUUCCAGGACUAUGUGAAAUCAGUUAUGCAAACUGGGCCUUCGUGGAAUCAUCUGAACGAUGGCUGAGUCCCCAGACUUCAGGGCUUUGGGAUUGUCUUCGAGCUUCUUGCCUGAGCGCCGGUCAAUCUUCUCCCUGAGGUCUGCAAACUUGCAGGCAAUGUGGGCCGUGUGGCAGUCCAGGACUGGCCUUCACCUCCUUGCUGAUCUCCUCAAAGCGUGCGCUACUGUAAGGAGGCUCCGUGAUGUCCAUCUUAUUGACUGCCACGAUGAGCUGCUUCACACCCAGCGUAUAGGCCAGCAGUACAUGCUCACGGGUCUGCCCAUCCUUGGAGAUGCCAGACUCAAACUCACCUACACCACUGGCCACAAUCAGCACAGCACAGUCUGCCUGGCCCAAGUGACAGACAGAAGAAGGCCCAACUCAGACUUGGCCAGGGACACCCACUGCCCACCCCUGCAGCAGAGCCAAGACGACUCCGGUGGUACCUGUGAGGUCCCUGUGAUCAUGUUCUUGAUGAAGUCACGGUGACCUGGGGCAUCGAUGACGGUGAUGUAAUAUUUUUUGGUCUCAAACUUCCACAGGGAGAUGUCAAUGGUGAUGCCCCGUUCCCGUUCUGCCUUCAGCUUGUCCAGCACCCAGGCAUACUUGAAGGAGCCUUUGCCCACCUGGGCCGGGAGCAGGAGGGAAAGCCCCAGGGUCACCCCUAUAUCCAAAGCUGCCCAUCAACCAGGAAGGAAGUUACGAAAGAGUUGAGAGUCAGAGGGAUGGUAACAGGACUGUGUAUGGAGAGACCUUUGAAUAUUUCAAACAACAUAAUUUAUUACUUGUAUAAUUAAGUUUGUCUUUCAGCGCUGGUUUGGGAGUCAGAGUGACCCAGGGCCAAAUGACAAAGUGCCUAGGCAAGCAUGUGGACCUCCUGGCAGAGGGUCAGCAAGCCCUCAAAUCAGUAAUAGCGAACAUCUUUAGUUCCUGAGAUAUGGCAUGGCAUCUGUGUCACACUGGUACUUAAACCUUGGCACCAUCCUCAGGCAAGCUGUUUUACCCUUCUGAGCCUCAUUUGUCUCACCUGGAAAAUGACAGCCAUCACCUGCCUGACAUGAUUGAGAGGGAAAGCACCUACCAGCCCAGCAGGUGCUCAGCGGAAGUGAGCAGUCUCCUCCCCGACAAUGAGAUGAGAUGCCCUGUCGUGGUGGACUUGCCCGAAUCCACAUGGCCGAUGACCACAAUGUUGAUGUGGGUCUUCUCUUUGCCCAUGCUGGGAGCUGCUCAGAGAGAGGACAGCCGCCUGCAUCAGCCUGACCCGUGGCAAACCCUGAGUUUGGUGAAUGAAGCAGAAUGACUGCUGCCACCUUCAGGGCUUGACUCCUGUACGCAUCGUCACCUUUAUGCCACUGCUAACUCUACCUGAGCGCUGAGGGAACUGAGGCUCAGGAGCUGGGAAGAAAGUAGCAGGACUCAAGCUGUCUGACCGCAGAGUCUCCACCAGAGCCCAGCGCUGCCUCCCAGUGAACUCAUGCCCGAAGGAAGGGAUGUGAGUCCGACCCUGCUCAUUUCUGGGGUCCCAGCCUCCAGCCCUGGCUUGCUGAAUGAAUGUUUAGGGUAGGACCUGGGAAGAAGAUGAGGGCGGGGAAGGGGGGGCAGUCUCCCACACGGAAGGGCUGGCCGCAGAAUUGAGGACAAGCUACUGGACUGUAGUCUGAGGCUAGUACAGUGCUGGCAGCCUCCAGAGGUUCUGGAACCACCCACACAUCAGUUCCUGAGGACCAGGCUCUGUGUCUGGAGACCAGAUAGAUGCAGGGAAAGGUGGCGGAGAGAAUAGGCUUCUGAGAAGGCUGACCUAAUCAGAUCGGAGUCCUGGCUAUGCGGCUCUCACUCAGUGGUCCUUGAGCCACUCAGUGGUCCUUGAGCCCCUCCGGGCCUGGGUGGCCACCAACUUCUUGGUGUUGUGGUGAUUCAAGGAGAUAAGCCCCCUCCCUCAUAAAUCUUGAUGGUACUGAUAAUUGGUCCUUUAAAGAACUUAUGACAAAGUGGAAACACACGGGGGCGCUCUAACCACAAACCGCAGGUUAACAUGUUCUUAGAACCUGGGCAGUUAGUUGGGAGCUGGGGACAGCCAGAGGGCUAUUAUCACAGUGCUGUGCUGAUCACACUGACCAGCUCUGGCCCUUCCUCUUCCGAUACAGGUGGCGGUAGAGAAAUGAUUUGUGAGUGGUUGGAUCAUGUAGCUAAGUUCACCUUCAUCUAAGCUUUGUUUUUCACUCAUUAUUUGGCAUCUUCGUGGUUAACAGUUCCUUAGCUGUAAGUCCCACAAGUUCCUAAGAGGCAAAGUGAGGCUCUUGGGAUCGUUGUGUUUAUCGCCCAUCCCCGGACGUUCAGCUCCUGCUUCUGUGUAUCUGUGGAGCGUUGGGAAGGAAACUGGUUUUGGGAUCCAAAGACCAGGUGAGUCAGCUCUGCCACUUCAUGGCUUGCUCCCCCUUCCUCCACCUCCUCUUCAUUCUCACCGGGCCAGCCUUGCUCUCCCUCUCUUCUUGCAGGACAGGGGAGCUUCCUCCCCACGCCAGCCGGUCCGCAGCAGCCCCACAAGUGUGUAUAGUCCAGAAGGUUCCCAAUGCACGGAAGGGCACUCGGGAGCCAGGUCUGAGGGACAACCAGAGUCUAGAGACCACACAGAGUCACCAGGGUUCUAAAGGAAGGGGUACAAGGAGGGGGUGAGUGGGGGCAGAGGGAGAGUGCUAAGGGAUCCUGAGCCAUGUAAAGAGACAGCCCAGGGGCGCCUGGGUGGCUCAGUUGUUAGGUGUCUACCUUCGGCUCGGGUCAUGAUCCUAGGGUCCUGGGACCGAGCCCCGCAUCGGGCUCCUUGCUCAGCGGGAAGCCUGCUUCUCCCUCUCCCCCUGCUUGUGUUGCCUUUCUCGCUGUGUCUCUCUCUGUCAAAUAAAUAAAAUCUUCAAGAAAAAAAAGAGCCAGCCCAGAAGAAGGCUUUGGAACCAGAGACACCUGAGUGUGAAUCCUGGCCUCAACACUUAACAGCUACGGGGGAUUUGAUGUCUACUCCUUUCCUGAGCGAUCAGAAGGCUUCAAGCUGUAGGACGAUCCUGUCCAAUAUGGUAGUCACUACCCACAUGUGGUGACUUAAAUUUAGAUUAAUUAAACUUAAGUAAAAUUUAAAAUUCAGUUCCUCGACUACGACAGCCACAUGUGAUUGGGCCAUGGUGCCAGGAGCUCUGGUUCCAGCUCUGUCACUGAUUGCCCAGACUGCCUCAGACAAACACAUACCUCUGGACCUCAUUCCUUCUCUAUAAAAUGCGGGCAGAGGUUAAACGAGGUAAUGCAUGAAGGUCUUUUAAGGUCUGACCUUCUGGGGUCAGUUCUGGGAGCUCUGGAUUCAAUUUCUGGUCACCUCUCCCCUAAUCCCUCUGAAAACUCAAGCUUCUCAGCUGGCGCUGCUAUAAAGAGGAGUUUUGGUGAACUCAUUGGCCCUCUGGCAGUUACUGUGUAUUUCUUAAGGGACAGCAUCUGAUUGGAUGUGGCCAAAUCUGGGCCAAUCAAAAUCUCCCUAACCAGAUCCUGGUUUGGGGAUUUAGGGUCAGUUAGUGAGUCUCUACGUGUGGUAGAGACUGUAAUGGGGAGAAGUAGUUGGUGGUGGCUACAGUGGUGGAGAAAGCCGGUCUAGAGGGAGAUAGGGACACAGCAGACCUUCAGGGAGAAACAGGGAGAAGGAUCCCCAUUUCAGGCUCUUGGAAUCUUUGAGACACCGCUGAGUCUUUGUAAUAAAUUCUCCCCACUUCCUUCUUUUCUAUUAAGUUCCAGUUAAUUUCCAGUGCUUGUCACCAAAGUCUCCUAACCCUUGUGGGUUAAGGUAAAGGGGCUUGGUUUAUUGUUGUUCUGAAAAGUUGAGUGAUCUUUCAGCUGAAAGAAAGAGAAAGCUAAACAAGGACAUCUCCCACACGUAGACACCAAGAACAAACUGAAAGAAAAAUGAUCAUCAGUUAUUAGUUUGACACAUGUUUCUUGAGCACCUUAUGCUGUGCCCAGUGCCUUAUAUGGAUUACUUUAUCUAAUCUUCACAAAAACCCUUGAGAGAUAAUGCUUUCCCCAUUUCAGAGGGAAUUGAGACACUGAGAGGUUAAGGGACUCAUGCAAGGACACACAGCUGGUCAGUGGCAGAGACCUGGUACAUCAGGGCUUGGUGAGAUGACAAGUGGGGUCUUAGCUGCAUAAGCACAGCUUGUGAGUGAGGAGGUUUCCUGGGUGGGGACCCACUUGGCCCAGAGAGUAAAGCAAGCCAGAAAGAUCAUAUGAGGUGUGACUCAGUUUUUCUGGCUACAAAGAACACAGCCACCUUUCUACAGUUUGAAGUGGGGAACGGUAGAUUGGAGAGGAAAAUCCUCUAAAAUGAAAACACUUGUAUUCUCAGUAUCUUUUGUUUUCCACCUUCUUUUCUCUUAUAAAUAAGCCUUCCCAGAAUGAGUAAAAAUUAUUCCUCUCUUAACUCCGUGGAAAGCGUUAGAGGGGGUAGGAGAGGGAAAAUCAGUCCCCAAAUCUGUUCUGGAAUCCAGAUGUUUACUUUGUAGUUCCAUCACCUUCAUAUACAAAGAUCUGUUAUAAAACAGUAAAAAGAGGCCCUGCCAACACACAAAUAGGCAAAUAGCCAAUAAACCAAGAAAGAAUAUCCAACAUUUUGAGGAAUGAAAGAAAAGCAAAUUGAAGCAACGUACCAUUUUUUUACCUUUCAGGUUUUCGAGCAAAAAAAAAAAAAAAACUAUGAAAAACGUUGUUGGAGAAGAUAUGGAAAAAUGGUCACUUUCAUACUUCAUUGAUGGGAGUUUCAGUCAACGUAUACUUUCUACAGGGCAUUUUGAAAAUAUGAAUCCAAAGCCUUAAAAUAUGCAUUCUUUUUAUUCAAUUUAAUUCUAGGUAUUUAUCAAAAGGAGGUACAAUUAUGGGGGUAUUCUUUCUAGAAUUAUUUAUAACAAUGAAAGGGUCUCUGGUGUGGGCUGAGGCUGCCAGGGUGCUGGGGACACUCACAGGGUUUAGGGCAGCUGCUAUGUAUCAACUGAAGGAGAAAUAUUUCCACAGUUUACCAAUUGUACCAUCAUACUGCCUACCUGUAAUGCUGGUUUUAAAAACUAAAAAACAGGGCGCCUGGGUGGCUCAGUCGUUAAGCGCCUGCCUUCGGCUCAGGUCAUGAUCCUGGAGUCCCGGGAUCGAGUCCCGCAUCGGGCUCCCUGCUCGGCGGGGAGUCUGCUUCUCCCUCUGACCCUCCCUCUCAUGCUCUCUGUCUCUCAUUCUCUCUGUCUCAAAUAAAUAAAUAAAAUCUUAAAAAAAAAAAACUAAAAAAUUUCUAUGCCUACCGUGGGGCUCGAGUCACAACCCCGAGAUCAAGAGUCACAGACUCAAGGGUUGCUGGAGGGGUGGGGGGUGGAGGGAAUGGGGUAACUGGGUGAUGGGCAUUAAGGAGGUCACGUGAGGUACUGAGCACUGGGUGUUAUAUGCAACUGAUGAACCGCUGAACUCUAACUCUGAAACUAAUACUAUAUGUUAAUCAGUUUAAGUAAAGUAAAUUUUACGUUUAAAUAAAAUAAAUUUAAGCAAAAUAAAAUUUAAAAAAAGAGAGACACAGACUCUACUGACUGAGCCAGCCAGGUGCCCCUAAAACAAUUUUUUAAAGAUUUUAUUUAUUUAUUUGAGAAAGAGAGAGGACAAGUGAGAGGAGGAGCAGAGCGAGAGGGACAAGCAGACUCGGUGCUGAGCUCAGAGCCCGACUCAGGGCUCCAUUUCAGGACCCUGAGACCAUGACCUGGCCGGAAAUCAAGAGUUGGGUGCUUGGGACGCCUGGGUGGCUCAGUCGUUGAGCGUCUGCCUUGGGCUCAGGUCAUGAUCCCAGGGUCCUGGGAUCGAGCCCCACAUCGGGCUCCCCGCUCAGCAGGAAGCCUGCUUCUCCCUCUCCCACUCCCCCUGCUUGUGUUCCCUCUCUCGCGGUGUCUCUCUCUGUCAAAUAAAUAAAUAAAAUCUUAAAAAAAAAAAAAAAAAGCAGUCAUAGGGGUGCCUGUGUGGUUCAGUCGUUAAGCAUCUGUCUUCAGCUCAGGUCAUGGUCCCAGGGUCCUGGGAUCGAGCCCCGCAUCAGGCUCCCUCCUUGGCGGGAAGCCUGCUUCUCCCCCCCUCCCACUCCCCCUGCUUGUGUUCCCUCUCUCGCUGUGUCUCUUUCUGUCAAAUAAAUAAAAUCUUUAAAGAAAAAAAAAGAGUUGGACGCUCAAAUGACAGGCGCCCCCCUAAAAAUUUUUUUAAAGGUUGUCUCUGCUUCCUCAUAAAGUUGGAGCUGGGAGCUGGGGUUUUGUUUCUCACUCUUCUGGUUGAGCACAGGUCCUGGGGCAAGAUUAUGUCAUUACUCUGAUGGAAAAUGGAAUGUAUGUGUGUUCUCAGGUUUUUAGCACGUCUUAGUUUCCAUUUCCAAUAUGGUAAAUACUGAAAGAAAUAACCCACAUAAACAAAAGAUCUGUAGGGGCUUCAAUAAUGCUUAAGAGUGUACAGGGUUCUCAAAAAGUUUGAGAACUGCUAAUCCCAACAGGUGGAUGUCAGGGUCAUUUUCAAGGUAAAACAAGUGGGGCAUGCAGAUUGCCCAGGGUCACCAACUAAUGAAGAGCGAAGCCUGCAUGCAAAUCCAGGCUUGUCUGAUCUGAAUCCUCUCUUUCCCACGACUUGCCAGGGAGACCCUCUUUCAAUACAGUGUGAUGUCUGGUGUCUGUGUGUCUCCUGGUGGGGACUCAGGCACCUUCUCAGCAGCAUCCAGCACCUGGCCCGGGGCCCCGCCCUACCUGGGAAAGCAAUGGAUGUUUGUUGACCCAGUGAAUGAAUGACCCAUUCCAAAAACACACGGUUGAAAAAUUCUCCCUUGGAGGAGGGUGAGUGCAAAGUUAACUGAACUCUUCUUGCACCCUUGGCCCUGCUCCUUUGGCCCUGUUCUUCGGCCUCAAGCUUUCUGAGAGGCUGCCAGGGACAAGAAGCCGUGGGAGCAGCAGAUGCUGGGGAAUACGGUCCCUGUCCCCAGGAGCUCCUGAACAACAGGCAAGAGAAGCCCAAAAUAUGCAGUGACAUGAGUAACAAGUGCAACCGACAAGAGGGGGAGCCUGGAGGGGCUGUGGGGGCAGGGAAGAGAGGCCCCACCUUGAUUGUGCAGGGGUGGGGCGUGUCAGGGAUGUUUCAUUUCCAAGCUGGGGUUGAAAAGGGAAUAGGCGUUGGCCAGCUGAGGAGGUAGAGAGGACAGUCCCCAGGUAGAAGAAGAGCAUGUGGAAGAGCCAGGGGACAGAGAGCCUGUGGAGCCCCCAGAGACAGGAAAGAAGAUGUUCUGGCAAGAGCCGGAGAAGUAGGUCCCAGCCACGCAGGGCCACAAGGACCAGGAACAGAGCUUAGGCAGUGGGGACCGUAUUCAUCAGCUCAGGCUGCUAUAACAAAAGACCACAGGCUCCAUAUCUUAAAGAACAGAAAUUAAUUUUCUUAGCGUUCUGGAGGCCAGAAG